CACCCGGUCCCAUCCCGAACCCGGAAGUUAAGUGCCUUAGCGCCAAUGGUACUGCGUCUUAAGACGUGGGAGAGUAGGUCACCGCCAAAC
rnacentral:rRNA from 1 species